rfam:Cryptococcus dejecticola CBS 10117 unplaced genomic scaffold supercont1.1, whole genome shotgun sequence.
UGCCCCAUGGCCAAGCUGGUUAAGGCAUCCGACUGUUACGAAAUGUCCCCAAUGGGACUGAAGCGUGCAUCUCCAUCGGAAGAUCGACGGUUCGAUCCCGUCUGGGGCAG